GCGUGCCUUUUGUAGAAUGAACCGGCGAGUUACGAUCUGAUGCAAGGUUAAGCAGCAAAUGCGGAGCCGCAGCGAAAGCGAGUCUGAACAGGGCGUUGAGUAUUUGGUCGUAGACCCGAAACCAGGUGAUCUACCCUUGGUCAGGUUGAAGUUCAGGUAACACUGAAUGGAGGACCGAACCGACUUACGUUGAAAAGUGAGCGGAUGAACUGAGGGUAGCGGAGAAAUUCCAAUCGAACCUGGAGAUAGCUGGUUCUCUCCGAAAUAGCUUUAGGGCUAGCCUCAAGUGAUGAUUGUUGGAGGUAGAGCACUGUUUGGACGAGGGGCCCCUCUCGGGUUACCGAAUUCAGACAAACUCCGAAUGCCAAUCAAUUUAACUUGGGAGUCAGAACGUGGGUGAUAAGGUCCAUGUUCGAAAGGGAAACAGCCCAGACCACCAGCUAAGGUCCCAAAAUAUAUGUUAAGUGGCAAAGGAUGUGGUAUUGCCCAGACAACUAGGAUGUUGGCUUAGAAGCAGCCAUCAUUUAAAGAGUGCGUAAUAGCUCACUAGUCGAGUGACACUGCGCCGAAAAUGUACCGGGGCUAAACAUAUUACCGAAGCUGUGGAUUGUCCGUAGGACAAUGGUAGGAGAGCGUUCUAAGUGCGUCGAAGCAUGAUCGCAAGGACAUGUGGAGCGCUUAGAAGUGAGAAUGCCGGUGUGAGUAGCGAAAGAUGGGUGAGAAUCCCAUCCACCGAUUGACUAAGGUUUCCAGAGGAAGGCUCGUCCGCUCUGGGUUAGUCGGGUCCUAAGUCGAGGCCGACAGGCGUAGACGAUGGAUAACAGGUUGAUAUUCCUGUACCACCAUUUAUCGUUUUAAGCGAUGGGGGG
rnacentral:rRNA from 1 species